rnacentral:lncRNA from 1 species
AGCCUCUGCAGGGGCUUUGAGCAGCCAGCACCUUCACUCCAGCCUGUUUCCUGAUCUGGCGGGCACACAGUGCAAUGUGAAAGCAGGUGUGCGUGCACACCCACACCCGCAUGCCCACACAUCCAUACAGUCCACACCAUCACACACACACACCCACACACAUCCAUACAGUCCAUACCAUCACACACACCCGCACACAUCCAUACAGUCCACACCAUCACACACACACCCGCACACAUCCAUACAGUCCACACCAUAACACACACAUCUAUACAGUCCACACCAUCACACAUCCAUACAGUCCACACCGUCAUACAAACACACACACAUCUAUACAGUCCACACCUGUUACAUGCACACAUCUAUACAGUCCACACCGUCACACAUCCAUACAGUCCACACCGUCAUACACACACACAUCUAUACAGUCCACACCGUCUCACAUCUAUACAGUCCACACUGUCAUACACACACAUCUAUACAGUCCACACCGUCACACAUCCAUAUAGUCCACACCAUCAUACACACACACAUCUCUACAGUCCACACCAUCACAUGCACACACACAUCUAUAUGGUCUACACCGUCACACACACACACACAUCUAUACAGUCCACACCGUCACAUAUCUGUACAGUCCACACCGUCACACACACACGCCCACACCCGCAUGCCACACAUCCAUACAGUCCACAUUCACGUAUGCCCAUAUGCAUCCAUUCACACGUGUGUACACAUGCUCACACACACACAUUCAUAGACUCCACACAUGCACACGUGCACACACACGCACAUGCUCGCACACAUGCACAGAUACACUCACGUCCACACACGCUCAAACAUGCGUGCACACCCGGAGGUGCCCAGAGGGGCAGGGUGGGGAGGACCCCUGCAGCUGCCACACUCCCUGCUCUUGUGGGUAGUUGGGGGCCACUGGGUAUGUGUGUCCAUGCCCCGUCCCCCCGGCAGUGCCGUGCACUGCAGACCUGCCUGGGGC